UGACAAGAUUGACCAUUCAGCUACCUGCC
rnacentral:piRNA from 1 species